GAUGAACGCUGGCGGCGUGCCUAAUACAUGCAAGUCGAGCGAACAGACGAGGAGCUUGUUCCUUUGACGUUAGCGGCGGACGGGUGAGUAACACGUGGAUAACCUACCUAUAAGACUGGUAUAACUUCGGGAAACCGGAGCUAAUACCGGAUAACAUGUUGAACCGCAUGGUUCAACAGUGAAAGACGGUCUUGCUGUCACUUAUAGAUGGAUCCGCGCCGCAUUAGCUAGUUGUUAAGGUAACGGCUUACCAAGGCAACGAUGCGUAGCCGACCUGAGAGGGUGGUCGGCGACACUGGAACUGAGACACGGUCCAGACUCCUACGGGAGGCAGCAGUAGGGAAUCUUCCGCAAUGGGCGAAAGCCUGACGGAGCAACGCCGCGUGAGUGAAGAAGGUCUUGGGAUCGUAAAACUCUGUUAUUAGGGAAAAACAAAUGUGUAAGUAACUAUGCACGUCUUGACGGUACCUAAUCAGAAAGCAACGGCUAACUACGUG
rnacentral:rRNA from 1 species